rnacentral:rRNA from 1 species
GACGAACGCUGGCGGCGUGCUUAACACAUGCAAGUCGAACGGUGAACCUCUUCGGAGGGGAUCAGUGGCGAACGGGUGAGUAACACGUGGGCAACCUGCUCCCGGCCCUGGGAUAACUCCAAGAAAUCGGGGCUAAUACCGGAUGUUCACCGCUUCCCGCAUGGGUGGUGGUGAAAAGGGUUUCCGGCUGGGGAUGGGCCCGCGGCCUAUCAGCUUGUUGGUGGGGUAGUGGCCUACCAAGGCGACGACGGGUAGCCGGCCUGGGAGGGUGACCAGCCCCACUGGGCUGGGGGAGGGGCCCAGACGGAUAAGGGGGGAAGCAGCGGGAAAUUGUGCGCACUAGGCGGAAGCCUGAAGCAGAGACGCCGCGUGGGGGAAGACGGCCUUCGGGUUGUAAACGUCUUUGAGCAGGGACGAAGCGAAAGUGACGGUACCUGCAGAAGAAGACCCGGCCAAAUACGU